UACAGAGGUCUCAAGCGUUGUUCGGAUUCAUUGGGCGUAAAGGGUGCGUAGGCGGCGCGGUAAGUCGGGUGUGAAAUCUUGGAGCUUAACUCCGAAACUGCAUCGAUACUGCCGUGCUUGAGGACUGGAGAGGAGACUGGAAUUUACGGUGUAGCGGUGAAAUGCGUAGAUAUCGUAAGGAAGACCAGUGGCGAAGGCGGGUCUC
rnacentral:rRNA from 1 species